UACGUAGGGUGCGAGCGUUAAUCGGAAUUACUGGGCGUAAAGCGCGCGUAGGCGGCCCGGUAAGUCCGUUGUGAAAGUCGAAGGCUCAACCUUCGAAAGCCGAUGGAUACUGCCGGGCUAGAGUACGGAAGAGGCGAGUGGAAUUCCUGGUGUAGCGGUGGAAUGCGCAGAUAUCAGGAGGAACACCAAUAGCGAAGGCAGCUCGCUGGGACGUUACUGACGCUGAGGCGCGAAAGCGUGGGGAGCGAACAGG
rnacentral:rRNA from 1 species